AGUGAACGCUGGCGGUAGGCCUAACACAUGCAAGUCGAACGGCAGCACAGUAAGAGCUUGCUCUUACGGGUGGCGAGUGGCGGACGGGUGAGGAAUACAUCGGAAUCUACCUUUUCGUGGGGGAUAACGUAGGGAAACUUACGCUAAUACCGCAUACGACCUACGGGUGAAAGCAGGGGAUCUUCGGACCUUGCGCGAUUGAAUGAGCCGAUGUCGGAUUAGCUAGUUGGCGGGGUAAAGGCCCACCAAGGCGACGAUCCGUAGCUGGUCUGAGAGGAUGAUCAGCCACACUGAAACUGAGACACGGUCCAGCCUCCUACGGGAGGCAGCAGUGGGGAAUAUUGGACAAUGGGCGCAAGCCUGAUCCAGCCAUACCGCGUGGGUGAAGAAGGCCUGCGGGUUGUAAAGCCCUUUUGUUGGGAAAGAAAAGCAGCAGGUUAAUACCCCGCUGUUCUGACGGUACCCAAAGAAUAAGCACCGGCUAACUUCGU
rnacentral:rRNA from 1 species